rnacentral:lncRNA from 1 species
CCGAUCUCCAUACCUUUGCAUGGAUCAAUGUUCUCCAUAGUUGAUGCUCGUGAUAUACUCUGAGGUUCCUCAAUCAGCCAUACAUGGGUUCGACCUCUAUGGAUAUCCACACAAGGCCCUCGAAUCCAAUCAGAGGUCUGCGAUUUCAUCGGGGUGCUAGCUUCCUUACAGAAGAUGCCUCCGAUAGUUGAUGUUGCUGAUCUCCAUCAUUUCUCUCAAGACUCUCUCAGAGAAAGAGUAUAGGAGGAAGAAGAGGAGGAAGAAGAGGGGAGAAACCCUUUCUCUCUUUUCUUUUUCUUUCUUCACAAAACCCGACGCCUAAGAGGGAAUAGCCCAUGCCACAC